CAGUCGCCACGGGAAUACGAAGGGGGCUAGCGUUGUUCGGAAUUACUGGGCGUAAAGCGCACGUAGGCGGACAUUUAAGUCAGGGGUGAAAUCCCGGGGCUCAACCCCGGAACUGCCUUUGAUACUGGGUGUCUAGAGUAUGGAAGAGGUGAGUGGAAUUCCGAGUGUAGAGGUGAAAUUCGUAGAUAUUCGGAGGAACACCAGUGGCGAAGGCGGCUCACUGGUCCAUUACUGACGCUGAGGUGCGAAAGCGUGGGGAGCAAACAGGAUUAGAUACCCGAGUAGUCCCUGUCUCUUAUCA
rnacentral:rRNA from 1 species